AUGGUUGCUGUGAUUAUAAAAAAUUCCUCGUUCUGAAUUGCAAGGCUUCUUUUAGCAUGACAGACACCGAAUCACCCAUAGAAUAUGAGCACC